GAAGAUCUUGUGGUUAAGGCUCUGGACUGAGGCUCACAGGGUUCAAUUCAUUAAAAAUUGCAGUACUGUAGUGUUUAAGAAAGCUACUCAUGGACCCAGGACCCCCAUGAACUAGGUGCUGUAUUAACUUAGAAGAAAGAAGAGAGUCGGGCAUGCUCUGCCCCAUCCUCUGGUGACCCAGAAACCUCUGAGACUGUCUCCACUGAGUGAAUGUGGAUAUAUAUUAUAACUGGGCAGAGGAGUGUUUGGAGAAG